AGAGUUUGAUCAUGGCUCAGAAUCAACGCUGGCGGCGUGCCUAAUACAUGCAAGUCGAACGCGAAAGUCCCGCAAGGGAUAAGUAGAGUGGCAAACGGGUGAGUAACACGUGGGUGACCUGCCUUCGAGUGGGGGAUAACGUUCCGAAAGGGACGCUAAUACCGCAUGACAUCCUGCCUUUGAACAGGCGGAAAUUAAAGCCGGGGAUCGCAAGACCUGGCGCUUGAAGAGGGGCCCGCGUCCGAUUAGCUAGUUGGUGGGGUAACGGCUCACCAAGGCAACGAUCGGUAGCCGGCCUGAGAGGGCGGACGGCCACACUGGGACUGAGACACGGCCCAGACUCCUACGGGAGGCAGCAGUAGGGAAUUGUUCGCAAUGGGCGCAAGCCUGACGACGCAACGCCGCGUGGAGGAUGAAGAUCUUCGGGUCGUAAACUCCUUUCGAUCGAGACGAAUGGCCCUGAGGUAAAUAGCCUCGGGGAAUGACGGUACCGAGAGAAGAAGCCCCGGCUAACUCCGUGCCAGCAGCCGCGGUAAUACGGGGGGGGCAAGCGUUGUUCGGAAUUACUGGGCGUAAAGGGCUCGUAGGCGGCCAACUAAGUCAGACGUGAAAUCCCUCGGCUUAACCGGGGAACUGCGUCUGAUACUGGAUGGCUGGAGUUUGGGAGAGGGAUGCGGAAUUCCAGGUGUAGCGGUGAAAUGCGUAGAUAUCUGGAGGAACACCGGUGGCGAAGGCGGCAUCCUGGACCAACACUGACGCUGAGGAGCGAAAGCCAGGGGAGCAAACGGGAUUAGAUACCCUAGUAGUCC
rnacentral:rRNA from 1 species